rnacentral:rRNA from 1 species
AUUGAACGCUGGCGGCAUGCCUUACACAUGCAAGUCGAACGGUAACGGGCCUUCGGGUGCCGACGAGUGGCGCACGGGUGAGUAAUACAUCGGAACGUGCCCGAUCGUGGGGGAUAACGAGGCGAAAGCUUUGCUAAUACCGCAUACGAUCUACGGAUGAAAGCAGGGGACCGCAAGGCCUUGCGCGGACGGAGCGGCCGAUGGCAGAUUAGGUAGUUGGUGGGAUAAAAGCUUACCAAGCCGACGAUCUGUAGCUGGUCUGAGAGGAUGAUCAGCCACACUGGGACUGAGACACGGCCCAGACUCCUACGGGAGGCAGCAGUGGGGAAUGUUGGACAAUGGGCGCAAGCCUGAUCCAGCCAUGCCGCGUGCAGGAUGAAGGCCUUCGGGUUGUAAACUGCUUUUGUACGGAACGAAAAGCCUUCUUUUAAUACAGGAGGGUCAUGACGGUACCGUAAGAAUGAGCACCGGCUAACUACGUG